GCCUCAGUAGCUCAGCUCGGUAGAGCAUCUGAUUUGUAAUCAGACGGNCGGGGGUUCAAAUCCCUCCUGGGGCUCCA
rnacentral:tRNA from 1 species